rnacentral:rRNA from 1 species
AACGAACGCUGGCGGCAUGCCUAACACGUGCAAGUCGAACGAGAUCUUCGGGUCUAGUGGCGCACGGGUGCGUAACGCGUGGGAAUCUGCCCUUUGGUUCGGAAUAACAGUUGGAAACGACUGCUAAUACCGGAUGAUGACGAAAGUCCAAAGAUUUAUCGCCAGAGGAUGAGCCCGCGUAGGAUUAGCUAGUUGGUGUGGUAAAGGCACACCAAGGCGACGAUCCUUAGCUGGUCUGAGAGGGUGAUCAGCCACACUGGGACUGAGACACGGCCCAGACUCCUACGGGAGGCAGCAGUGGGGAAUAUUGGACAAUGGGCGAAAGCCUGAUCCAGCAAUGCCGCGUGAGUGAUGAAGGCCUUAGGGUUGUAAAGCUCUUUUACCCGGGAUGAUAAUGACAGUACCGGGAGAAUAAGCUCCGGCUAACUCCGUGCCAGCCGCCGCAGUAA